rnacentral:rRNA from 1 species
CAGUAGCCGCGGGAAUACGAAGGGGGCUAGCGUUGUUCGGAUUUACUGGGCGUAAAGGGCGCGUAGGCGGAUUUGUAAGUCAGGGGUGAAAUCCCGAGGCUCAACCUCGGAACUGCCUUUGAUACUGUGGAUCUUGAGUCCGGGAGAGGUGAGUGGAACUGCGAGUGUAGAGGUGAAAUUCGUAGAUAUUCGCAAGAACACCAGUGGCGAAGGCGGCUCACUGGCCCGGAACUGACGCUGAGGCGCGAAAGCGUGGGGAGCAAACAGGAUUAGAUACCCCCGUAGUCCCUGUCUCUUAUAC